GAUGAACGCUAGCGGCAGGCCUAACACAUGCAAGUCGAGGGGUAACUAGAGUGAUAGCAAUAUUACUUUGGCUAGACCGGCGCACGGGUGCGUAACACGUAUGCAACCUACCUUAUACUGGGGAAUAACUUCGAGAAAUCGGCGCUAAUACCCCAUAACAUUGCGAAGAGGCAUCUCUUUGCAAUUAAAGCUCCGGCGGUAUAAGAUGGGCAUGCGUCCAAUUAGCUAGUUGGUGAGGUAACGGCUCACCAAGGCUACGAUUGGUAGGGGUUCUGAGAGGAUGAUCCCCCACACUGGAACUGGGACACGGACCAGACUCCUACGGGAGGCAGCAGUGAGGAAUAUUGCGCAAUGGACGAAAGUCUGACGCAGCCAUGCCGCGUGCAGGAUGACGGCCCUAUGGGUUGUAAACUGCUUUUGUACGGGAAUAAACCCUUCUACGUGUAGGAGGCUGAAGGUACCGUAAGAAUAAGCACCGGCUAACUCCGUGCCAGCAGCCGCCGUAAGAC
rnacentral:rRNA from 1 species